UAAACAACAUAAAUCAUGACACUGAAAAGGGACGUC
rnacentral:guide_RNA from 1 species